rnacentral:rRNA from 1 species
CGGCGGACGGGUGAGUAACGCGUGGAUAACCUGCCUCAUACAGGGGGAUAACAGUUAGAAAUGACUGCUAAUACCGCAUAAGCGCACAGGACCGCAUGGUCCGGUGUGAAAAACUCCGGUGGUAUGGGAUGGAUCCGCGUCUGAUUAGCUGGUUGGUGAGGUAACGGCCCACCAAGGCGACGAUCAGUAGCCGACCUGAGAGGGUGGCCGGCCACAUUGGGACUGAGACACGGCCCAAACUCCUACGGAAGGCAGCAG